CUUACUUGACGAAAGCGAUAGAUCUACGCACAUAAAAUUAGCUAAAAAAAACAAAAAGCUGAUUAAAGCUAACUACCCCAGUGAACUGACAACCAAUUAAAGUUUACGCAAAAAUACGGUAGAAAAUUGAAGCCAAACCAAAAAAAACAAUCAUAGAAUAGGCGAACUAGAGAGACACAAAAGAAGAUGAAUAGGUGGACAAAUGAAAUAUUCAACGCACCAUUAAAUGCAAACGCAGAUGACAACAGAGCCAACAGAGUCGAAAAGCCAAACAAUAAGCAGUUACAAGUGACUGUAACAGCAAAAAAAAAAAGAACAGAAGAAAAUAUAAAAAACAUCAAUGAAA